GUCCAAGUGGCCCAAUGGAUAAGUCAUUAGCCUUCUAAGCCAAUGAUUGUGAGUUCACGUCCCACCUAGGGUA
rnacentral:tRNA from 1 species